rnacentral:lncRNA from 1 species
AUGAUAACUUUGCUGUGUUCUGUCUAUAUUAUGCAAUGCUGCUCUAAUUCUUUUAUGUUAACUAUCUUUUUAUUAACUUUAUUUUUGACAAACCAUCACAUAGCUGCUAUUCAUUACACUAGUAAUGAAAAUACUGAUGCAAGGUAUACAGAACUGGAACCUUGAAUCAUAUGAUGAAAGUCAAUUUCCAAUACUGUCCUUUAGUCAACAAAAAACUUUUACUAGAAAUCAGAGAUUAUGGUAUUACAAAAUUGAUACUUUUUGCAAGGUUAAAAUUUGAUUAACCAUUUUUUUAGACAUUCUCUUUGGAGAUACCCAUUCAUUUUAAUUUAUGGUUAAGCUUAAUAGAGACAGGCAAAUUGAAAGGUAUUUAGUUUAUUCAACCGGCCCUUGCUGGCAGAAUUAGUCAAAGAAAUGGGAAACUGCUACUUCAUUACGAAAACCGCAUACUCAUAAUCAAAACGAACCAAGUUGACAAACAUAUAUUCUCCCUUAGAAUUCAAAAUACUCUUAACAUAUAAGGAGCAGUCAAGAACUCCUUAUAGUAACCUUGGCAUGAUAAGUAUUCAGAAAGGUCAGCCUGACCCUUCAGACUUAUCGUAUGUAAAAAUCUGUUCCUCCCAUAAUGUCCCAAGGGCAAUUUUCACAAUUGAAACAAGUUUCUUCUUAUAAAACAAGGUAAAACCCUACAUUCCCUGGGGUAAAAGUUAAGAUGCUCUAACUUGCCUCCCCCCACCCCCGAAAUUAUUUUUUACAAAACAAACAAAACCCAAUGGAGUGGCUUACAUAGAUAGAAAUGUAUUUCUCACAUUACAGUCCUGCCGGUCCAGGUGGUGAAGGUCAUUAAAAUACACAGGUCUCUUCCUUCCUUUCUGCUGCAUUGCCAUUCCCUGAUCUGCUCAUCAGCGUUACCGAAAGCUGAGUCUCUACCACGUCUGUGCUACAGCCCAUAGAAGAAGGGAAUAGGAGAGAGUCCAGGGCAAGUGUCUUUAAGGAGCUGAUCCAGAAAUGAAAGAUAUCCUUCUACUCCUCUCUCAUUGCCCAGAACUUUAGCACAUGAACUUACUUAGCUUCAAGGGAUGCUGGGAAAUGUAGUCUGUAACUGGGAGACCAUUCUUUU